UUAAAGAUAAGCUAAUAUAAGCUGACGGGUUCAUACCCCGCCCAUGAGAGAUCUCUCUUUAAAAUUUACAACAAGAGGUUAAAUUAUUUGUUUAUGUCGACUUUACUAUUAGGCAUUGUUAUUAUACUAUCCAGAAAAACUUGGUUUAGGGUGUGGCUUGGACUGGAGAUCAACCUACUUUCCUUUUUACCUAUUAUCCUAUUCUCAACCCCCUCGGGGAGAGAGGGGGGUCUGAAGUACUUUCUAAUCCAAGCCUUGGGCUCACUACUCAUCUUGCAGACAAGGGUCUCCUGGCCCCUGGCCCCCUCCCCCCAUCUCUUCUUUACCCUGCCUAUUAUUCUUAAACUAGGGGCGGCACCAUUACAUUUCUGGCUGCCAGAGGUUACAAAGACCCUGCCAUGGCGCGCCAAUAUAAUCCUACUAACCUUACAAAAAACAGGCCCCCUAUACCUUCUAGCGUCGGUCAGAUUAACCCACAAGCUACCCAUCCUGAUUGCCAGGGUCUUUUCAACAGUUGUCGGCUCACUAGGGGGGCUUAAUGAGCUAGACCUCCGUAAACUUAUGGCUUUUUCCUCAAUUAGCCAUAUAGGCUGGAUAUUUGUAGGGAUGGCUCUAACCCAGACCCACUGGGUGUUGUACUUCUCUACUUAUAUUAUUACAUCGUUGACCCUAAUCACUAUAUUAGAAAAAAUAAAUAUUUUUUCACUUGUCCAACUCUCCCCCGCCGGUAAAAACGGCUUAUUAUUUAUACUAUUACUACUAUCGCUGGGGGGCUUCCCCCCUCUCCUAGGGUUUGCCCCUAAAUGGGCAAUCUUACUAAGGUCCACUGGCGUGUCCCUGCCCCUCUCGAUCUUACUGGUGGUGACAAGAACGAUUACACUUUAUUACUAUAUCCGGGCCGGCCUAAUAACUCUAACUCUAAAUAGCGCAAGUUUUAAAGUGAACCUAUUGGCUAAUAAUACUCAGACGCUCUUAAUUUUAAUAAACACGGUGGGGGGAGGUUUGUACAUAUUUAUAUGGAGAAGGCUCGCGCUC
rnacentral:tRNA from 1 species